rnacentral:snRNA from 1 species
AAAGGUGUGGGGCCAUCUGGCCCUGGUGCUGUGACAUCUGUCACCUUUUUGGUCACCAUGUUGAGUCAGCUGAUCUGACUGGCUAAGACGGUGUCCCCUUCCUCCUCCACUGCUUCCUGCAUGUCCCUGGAGCAAAUGGCCUUUCCCAACACAGGAGGCUCACUCUUCAGUCAAGGGUGUGCAAGCAACAGGCUCCCCUGCUGGAACCUCCACAAAAGGCCCUCAAGGUCCACUCACAGGAGAAGGUAGGUGCAAACUUCCAUGAUGCCAGACGUGCCCAGGUCCUGCACAUAGCAGUCUGCCUUUCUAU